AAGAUCAUACUUCACAGGAUCAUUUCUGUAGUAUAUCUUCAGGUUGACAAACUUUUAUAGUUUCCAGCCCCUCGGUCACGAUGAUUUUUAGGUGGG
rfam:Asian citrus Psyllid, Diaphorina citri - Florida Strain, whole genome shotgun sequence.